CGAACGGGUGAGUAACACGUGGGUAACCUGCCCCGAUGAUUGGGACAACCCGAGGAAACUCGGGCUAAUACCAAAUGUGACUCUGGCCGUAAGGGCCAGAAGGAAAGGAAGCUUCGGCCUCCGCAUUGGGAUGGGCCCGCGGCCCAUUAGCUUGUUGGUGGGGUAAUGGCCUACCAAGGCAACGAUGGGUAGCUGGUCUGAGAGGACGAUCAGCCACACUGGGACUGAGACACGGCCCAG
rnacentral:rRNA from 1 species